rnacentral:rRNA from 1 species
AGUGAACGCUGGCGGUAGGCCUAACACAUGCAAGUCGAACGGCAGCACAGUAAGAGCUUGCUCUUACGGGUGGCGAGUGGCGGGCGGGUGAGGAAUGCAUCGGAAUCUACUUUUUCGUGGGGGAUAACGUAGGAAAACUUACGCUAAUACCGCAUACGACCUACGGGUGAAAGCAGGGGAUCUUCGGACCUUGCCCGACUGAAUGAGCCGAUGCCGCAUUAGCUAGUUGGUAAGGUAAAGGCUCACCAAGGCGACGAUGCGAAGCCGGCCUGAGAGGAUGAUCGGCCACCCUGGAACUGAGACACGUUCCAGACUCCUACGGGAGGCAGCAGUAGGGAAUCUUCCGCAAUGGGCGAAAGCCUGACGGAGCAACGCCGCGUGAGUGAUGAAGGUCUUCGGAUCGUAAAGCUCUGUUAUUAGGGAAGAACAAAUGUGUAAGUAACUAUGCACGGCUUGACGGUACCUAAUCAGAAAGCCACGGCUAACUACGUG